UACGUAGGUCCCGAGCGUUGUUCGGAUUUAUUGGGCGUAAAGCGAGCGCAGGUGGUUUAUUAAGUCUGGUGUAAAAGGCAGUGGCUCAACCAUUGUAUGCGUUGGAAACUGGUAGACUUGAGUGCAGGAGAGGAGAGUGGAAUUCCAUGUGUAGCGGUGAAAUGCGUAGAUAUAUGGAGGAACACCGGUGGCGAAAGCGGCUCUCUGGCCUGUAACUGACACUGAGGCUCGAAAGCGUGGGGAGCAAACAGG
rnacentral:rRNA from 1 species